UACGAAGGGGGCUAGCGUUGUUCGGAAUCACUGGGCGUAAAGCGCACGUAGGCGGAUCUUUAAGUCAGGGGUGAAAUCCCGAGGCUCAACCUCGGAACUGCCUUUGAUACUGGGGAUCUCGAGUCCGGGAGAGGUGAGUGGAACUGCGAGUGUAGAGGUGAAAUUCGUAGAUAUUCGCAAGAACACCAGUGGCGAAGGCGGACUCACUGGCCCGGAACUGACGCUGAGGUGCGAAAGCGUGGGGAGCAACAGGG
rnacentral:rRNA from 1 species